rnacentral:rRNA from 1 species
CCCCUARUAACGGCGAGUGAAGCGGGAAAAGCUCAAAUUUGAAAUCUGGCGGUCUCAGGCCGUCCGAGUUGUAGUCUAGAGAGGCGUCUUCCGUGCCGGACCGUGUACAAGUCCCUUGGGAUAGGGCGUCAUAGAGGGUGAGAAUCCCGUCCAUGACACGGACUGCCGGUGCUCUGUGAUGCGCCUUCAAAKAGUCGAGUUGUUUGGGAAUGCAGCUCAAAAUGGGUGGUAAAUCCCAUCUAAAGCUAAAUACAGGCGAGAGACCGAUAGCGAACAAGUACCGUGAGGGAAAGAUGAAAAGCACUUUGGAAAGAGAGUUAAACAGUACGUGAAAUUGUUGAAAGGGAAACGCUUGGAGUCAGUCGCGUCCGUCGAGACUCAGCCGGGCUUCUGCCCGGCGCACUUCUCGGUGGAUGGGCCAGCAUCGAUUUCGGCUGCCGGAAAAGGGYGAGGGGAAGGUGGCACCUCCGGGUGUGUUAUAGCCCCUCGUCGUAUACGGUGGCUGGGAUCGAGGUUCGCAGCACGCCUUUAUGGUCGGGGUUCGCCCACGCCACGUGMUUAGGAUGCUG